rnacentral:rRNA from 1 species
GACGAACGCUGGCGGCGUGCUUAACACAUGCAAGUCGAACGGAAAGGCCCUGCUUUUGUGGGGUGCUCGAGUGGCGAACGGGUGAGUAACACGUGAGUAACCUGCCCUUGACUUUGGGAUAACUUCAGGAAACUGGGGCUAAUACCGGAUAGGAGCUCCUGCUGCAUGGUGGGGGUUGGAAAGUUUCGGCGGUUGGGGAUGGACUCGCGGCUUAUCAGCUUGUUGGUGGGGUAGUGGCUUACCAAGGCUUUGACGGGUAGCCGGCCUGAGAGGGUGACCGGGCACAAUGGGACUGAGAUACGGACCAGACUCCUACGGGAGGCAGCAGGGGGGAAUAUUGCACAAUGGGCGGAAGCCUGAUGCAGCAACGCCGCGUGCGGGAUGACGGCCUUCGGGUUGUAAACCGCUUUCGCCUGUGACGAAGCGUGAGUGACGGUAAUGAGUAAAGAAGCACCGGCUAACUACGUG